UCUCAAGCAGCGGUCUGAGAAUUAGGAGGCUGCAAACUGCUGGAUGGCAGCAAACUUCUCCUAAAUUAACUUUCCAUCUCUUUCGGCGGUGUCAUUGAUUAAUGAGGACAGAUAGGUGCGGCUGCUGACGAGGUACGGGGCGAUCUAUCUAAUUGAGGGGUGUCCCCUGCUCAAUAUUCAGGGAAUCUCUCUGCCACUCAGCGGCCUAAUGGGCCGCGUUAACAACAUUGUGCACAGCUGCCAGGACGCCAGCGGGAUACCGAUGUUACCCCGGCUGCUCCAGUUUCGGCUGGGGCUCCUACACUCCUCGGUGGAAGCUGACGGGAAAUCGAUGUGUUUCCCUUGCUGCUGACUGGAUCUAUAUGUGAGCAACCUUAUUGGGAAAUAUCGUGGGCAGGAAACUUUGAGGUGGUCCAAGAGAAGGAGAGGGAGGGAGAGAAAAGAUGCUGCCGAUGAAUAUAAUUUGAUUUACAUUCAGGGUUUAGUGAAUAAAAGGCAUUUGAACUACGUUUAAACUGCCCCAUCCAGAUGCCGCUGUCACAAGCAUGCUAUCACAAUCGGACUGAUUGAAAAAACUGACAUAGAUCGAUGGAUCGAUUGAUGUGGUAACAAAACAAUCAUUCAGGUACGCACAACUGGCGUUUGGUCUUUGCUGGAUUGCAUCCCCUUGCAGGCAUUUUCCAUUCAGCCUCUGGCAAAUGUCUCUGUUUACCCCUAUUAGAGUGAUAGCAAAAUUCUGUCAUAUAUUAUGAAUGAUCUGGAGCAGAGGCUCCUUUACAAAAUCCAAAUAUGCCUGGAUGUCGCUGCUGGAGAAUGUGUAAUUCUGUUUAUUCAUCCGGAUACUGGACGUAUAAAUCUAAUACAUUUUGAAGCUACAAGAAUUCUCCUCCUCCAUGGGCCUGUUACUUUGACGAUAAAAGACCAGGAGACAGCUUACAAUGAUGUUUUCCACGUUCCUGGAUUCUCACUGUGGUUCCUGCAUCAAGCUCAGUCACACCUGCACAAAGUUACGAGCCGUGGACAAUGAUAUGGUACAUGACAAAAACAGUUUCUUAUAAACCCUCCAUACUCUGUACAAGCACACAAAAUGUGUACCCCUCAACAAACACAUAAUAAAUGUGCUCUUAUAAAUCAAUUUGGCUCCACGAUACAACCGGAUCUUGGGAAGUGGCUCGGAAAUAUCAAAACAACCUUGGGGACUUUGGGUUCACUAUGAAUGUUGUGUGCCUUCACUAUGUGUGCUCUUUAUAUCUGCUCUUUAUUCAAUCAAUCUGCUCCCUACUCUUUCAUCCAUUAAUUUGGCCUCUCUCUCUCUCUCUUCUUCUCUUUCUCCAUCCAUUAUUUCUGUCAUUGUGCUGUUUGUCCUGUUCAGUGGGCAUCAUAAAGCAGUCAGGAAGACUAACUUGCAUGUGAUGCUCGCAGAGCAGGCAGUGGAAAUGUCACAGUAUUUCAGGUACCAAGGCUUAUUAACGAGGUCUGUCUAAUAUGAGGGGACAGGAAAUGAGCAGGUUCUCCUUAACUGCUAUUGUAAAGAUGAUAGAUGUGUGAUUGCACUUAGAAAUGCAUGGAAAACAUGCAUGCAUGGAGAAACCUUUAUAGCUGGGGUUCUCAAACUUAGCAAACAGCCUCUAAAGCCAGAAAAAAUUAACUCGAACCCAAACUCUGUUUGUUCACAUGAAAAGAGAGACAUGUUUGUCAGUUGUUUGCAUCUUAUUCAUACAAUGUACUUCACUCACGGGAGGUCAAGAGCACCAUCUGUGCAUGUUCAAUUCUUAAUUAGAUUCACAACAACUGAAUAAUGUAUUUGUGAGACCAAAAUAGAUUUCAGGUGGGGAAUACCUGAGAUUAAUAUAGGAGUCUGUUUUUGACACAUUUCCUCAUUGACAUCUUCGAAGUCGUCGUGUUUUUUCUUUUCUGUUUCAGGCACAGCUUGUCCCGUGUCAAGCCAAUUAGUCGAUCUCAUUAACCAAUGCUGUCAACCAGAAGACUGCGGUUUGAGUCCUGUUUGUGAGCUCUGUUUUUUGCAUUCUCUUUUUUCUCCCCUCACAGUUUACUUUAUAUUCACAUUCUGUUUGGUUAGCUAUAGGCAUCAAAUAUACUUGGUUCGUUUUAAUGAAAUAUCACAGUUUGGGUAAAGCUUCAAAACUCCCACCGACAAAUGAUGGCCAAGCAAAGAUAUGUGGCCAUUUUCCAGUGGUCCGGUUCAUUUAACUCAAAGGUUUGCAUGAUAUUAAAGUGAUUUUCCCCACAAAAUGUAUUCCCUCUCUCAUGCACACCCUCUCUUAUUGUGGAUUUAGCUAUGAUAGCUAAUGACCGGAGUGUAGAGUAACCCUGUUGUGGCUGCUGCUGUUCACCCAUUGACUUCUCAUUGGCACUCACACAGUAUCUUUUUGGCAUUAACAUGCACUUUAGUCCAACAGAGUUCAAUAGAAGCUUCUUUACAUCUGAAAUAUGUAGCUGUGACAAGUUUGUGGGCAAAAAAGUGGUCUGCUGUUUUCCUCUCUGUCAUAGAUGCCACACUGUGGUAAACAAGGGAACCUUUUUAAUGUGUAGUUAAACUGAGCAGACUUAGUUCCAAAAUCUAACCCCACAGUGAAAACAAACAAGUUUACUAAAAUAAACGACAUGUACAAAUAUAUAAAUAUAUAAAUAUUUUUUAUAAAGAGUUCCCAUUAUACAAUAUUGUACCAUCAUUCCUUAUACCUAGUGUUAGGAAGGUUGUUGCUACAGUCGCACUAGAAGAAAACAGUGGCUGAGAUCAAUUUAUUGCCUUUAUGAUGGAACCAGGUGUGAGAGCGCCCACAGUUAGCUGCUAUGCUCAAAGACAGUGAUAAAACAACAACAAUCGCAUUGGUCUGCUAUCAGUCUGCGAUAACAUGGAGAUUAACUGUGAUAAAUCACUGAAAAUUGCAAGUCUGCUGUCAGACUUAAGAUAAGGUGUGCUAAUCAGCACAGAGUGACUCUGUCUGCAUUUAUAAAUUAGGAGGAAAUUAUUGGUAAACCUUGACUAAUUUGUCUGAGACUCCACUCAAUCUGAGCCAGACUGCAGUUGUUUGGCCCUUGCAUCGAAAAUGGUCAUGCAGAAGUUUCUGAGCGCUUCCACGCUCAACCUCUGGGUGACCAGCUGGUCAGUUCAGCAACUUGCAAUCAGCUGCCAAAAAUUCAGAUUCAGAUGACUUCAUUAAUCUACAAAAAGGGCAAUGUGUUUGCAGCUUACCCACACAACCUUUAAACACCAAAGACAAACACUGUUACAUGUGAGGUCAAGGAAGGAAAAAAUAAAUAAAAAAUAAAUUUUAGUUGCAGGGAGGUUGCCGUUCUUAUUUAAUCAUUUAAGUGUGACAUGUCCAUAGUAUACAUGCCUUUUUUUGUUGUUUUUCUGUUUGUUACUGAGAAAAGAGUUAAAAUGGACUGUGAUGCAGGAGGAUUUUAAAGGAAUCUGAAAUCUAAAGUGUGAAAUUUGAGCUAGUUAAACCUCCCCACAGCUGCUCAUUUCAGUCAAUGAGAUUAAAACCACCUCUCCAGCGUGCAAAGGGGUGCUGUUUUUACUGACUUACACCACAUUUGCCACUUAAUACUUGAUCACUUGCCGUCAUUAUGCAUCUGACAGAUGGCAGAAGAUGACUAAUGACUAUUUGCACAUUAAUGCUUUUUGUGUCAUGAAGAAGUUGAUUCAUCGCUACCAAAGUCAUAGUGUGUGUCACAGAGUGUAAGCGCAGGUUAUGUAAAAAGUGUGUCAGCUUUGCAUCUGUUCUAAACUGCAUGCAAAACAAUGCCGAGCUGUGCAGCAAACAGAUAUUGUACCAAAAUUGAAAAAGUAGGAGCUUUGUAAUGCCGGUGUAUCUCCUCGCUGUCAGCGCUGACACGCUCAUAAAACACAAGGCCUCAUUUUAAGUCAAACAGGAAAUAGCCUGCACAAUCCUGGGAACAAACAAGAGAGGACAGCGUUGCGGUUUGAUUGGACCGUGAACGGUCGCUGUCGUUACAAAGCACCACUGUAAGCUCCAUCGAUUAUCAAAGGGCUCCGAGCUCAGACGGGGAGUCUACUGAUCUUUCCCAAGCUCAGACAUGAAAAGCCCCCGGUGACAGCUCAUAGCCUGGGCUAGAUCAUACCGCUGAGCUGAGGAGGGAGGGGGCUUCUGUGUUGCCUGUUUUCUAACCACCUGCUCCACAGGCCGUGGCUGUGUUUUCUUGUUUUCUCUCUCUUAACGCUCCGCUUUGUCAGAGGCGACGAGGAUGCGCUUUCAUGCGAACUUGGGGCCAGCAAUGACAUCGGCAUGUGAGAGACACUUGGUACAACAACGCAAGGCAACCUUUUAUUACGGCUAUGCCUCAUUACUUUUUAACCAGCGUAAUCGUAUGUGCUGCUCCUCAUGAAUUAUUCACAGGUGAGCUCUCGUCACAAAAUGACAGGGGGAGAUGGCAGAGAGCUGCAAAUGAAAAACAAAACAAAACAGAAAACAAGCAUAAAAAUAGGAGAUGGUAUAUGUCAAGAACGUGAGGCUCUGAUACGUUUCCUCAUGCUUGCCAUUAACUUUCUUUGCAGAGGUGUGAGCACACAACACUGUAGAAAACAUACAGACACGGGUUUCACAAUAUGGAUCACAUGCUGAGAGUUUGUUUGUUGCUUUCAAAUGAAACAAACCAAUCUGAAAAGUGGUAUGAGGCUUUAGCUCCAGUGUGUUCGCCUUUCAUCAGCAGCAGCUUGGCAGCGACUGGAAAAUAUAAAAAGAAAGAAGGAGUUUCCGCCAGUGCCUGUCUACACAGAGACUGCUCGCUCCCUAAUAGUGCCAGCGUGCAGCAAUUCAUCUACGGCGCACUUGCGGGAUAGUCUUCAAGAGGCCGCUGUUCAUUAGCAUUACGCUAAUGUAUGUUGAUUGGUCGGUCAGCAUUCACUUCAAUUGUGAAUUGAUGGCUUCAAUCAAAACAAAGUUGAUCAAAGUUGCCGAAGGCUGAAAUUCUAUUGCGGGGCUAAAGAAAGGUCAGAAGAUCACCUGAGGUCCUGAGCAGACGAGAUGUUGGCUAUAGCAGGUCCUUAGAGCCUGCGCUGAUCAACUAGCACCGGUGUUCACGGAGAUCUUCAACCUCUCCCUGGCCCAAGCUGUGGUUCCCACGUGCUUCAAACAGUCCAUUAUUGUCCCUGUUCCAAAGAAACAACAGCCCGCUUGCCACAAUG